CGGGACGGGUGAGUAACGCGUGGAUAACCUGCCUCACACUGGGGGAUAACAGUUAGAAAUGGCUGCUAAUACCGCAUAAGCGCACAGUACCGCAUGGUACGGUGUGAAAAACCCAGGUGGUGUGAGAUGGAUCCGCGCCUGAUUAGCCAGUUGGCGGGGUAACGGCCCACCAAAGCGACGAUCAGUAGCCGACCUGAGAGGGUGACCGGCCACAUUGGGACUGAGACACGGCCAA
rnacentral:rRNA from 1 species